CAAGAGCGCCGAAAGGCUGCUUAAAACCAUCGCGAACCUAUCCAUCAGCGUUGCUUCGGCGGGUCCAAGGCGCGGGGUCCCCUCGGGCCCCCGCGCCGGGACCCACCUCUCCGGAGGUGGGGCCGCCCGCCGGAGGUACGAAACUCUUCCGAAUCUCUAGUUGAUCUCUGAGUAUACAAGCAAAUAGUCA
rnacentral:misc_RNA from 1 species